AACAAGAAUGUGUCCAAAGUACACGGAUGCCCCACUCCCACUAUCAUUUUCCAUGUUCAAUGGACCGUGAAAUUAGAUAAAAAAUAUAAUUAGGCAUUAAAAUUAGGAAGAUUAUAUCAUAGGGAACAUGUGUACUAAGUUUCAAGUUGAUUGGACUUCAACUUCAUCAAAAACUACCUUGACCAAAAACUUUAACCUGAAACAUGCACUUUCAUUUUCUAUGUUCAGUGGACCGUGAAAUUGGGGUCAAAAGUUUAAUUUGGCUUGAAAAUUAGAAAGAUCAUAUCAUAAGGAACAUGUGUACUAAGUUUCAAGUUGAUUGGACUUCAACUUCAUCAAAAACUACCUUCACCAAAAACUUUAACCUGAAGCGGGACAGACGGACGAACGAACGGACGAAC
rnacentral:lncRNA from 1 species